CUGGCCAGUCCUUUUUCUUCGCACCAAGAGAAAGAGUCUCUGGCAGUCGUUUGGGACGCCGGAUCCAAGAGGGUGCAGGAGAGGAUUUUGGGAGAGGGAAGGACGAGAUCUGGGCCCAAGCUGAACUUUGCGCCCUCUGCCUUAGAGGUUCCCCGAGUACAGAGUUGGAGGGGAAGGAAAACUUCGGCCGCCCUUUAAUUCUGAAACACGCUUGCUUUCUCCAGGAGGGGGCGUGAGGAGCGCUGAGCGGCGAGACCACGGUGUGGGACCCGGGAGCCAUUGUUGGAACAGGAUGGACACCUUGUAGAAACAAACCUCCCCCAAGUUGCAUGGAGUUGGGUUUUGUUAUUGUUGUGUCUAGAAGCCAGUAGCUGGGGCUCAGGUUUUUUCCAGAAUGGCAUUCGGUCUGUACCUGCUCCAGGAACAGAGCUGCCAGAGGUGUAAUAAUAGCAUCUUCCAGUGUGGAAAUGUUUUCCAUCCACCGACGUUCCCCUUCCUUCUUCUCACUCCCUAUUCCUCCGUCCAACGUGAACGAAACCCGGGAGAAGGGGAAGAGUACCGGACAUGACAAUAUGAAAAAAAAAAAAAUUUCCCCCCUCAUGCCCAAAGCGAUUUCCAACCCAGCAGCCUAAAUUCUUGAUUUUUGAUGUGCUUGGAAAGAAAGUAUUUGAAUUGAGUGAGAACCUGUGUACUAUGGAAAGCAAGCGUGUAUAUUUUGUUUUCUUUUUUCUUGUUAUUAGGAAGAAGUGAUAAAACCGACGACUGGCUCAGGUCUCCACAAGAACCAAAACAAAACAAAAAGGAGGCUUUAUUGUUGCAAGUGUAUUAAUCUCCAGGCAGUAAGAAUUCCGGGCACAUAAAUUAAACAUGGCAAGUGGAGAGGACAAAUGACACAAAUAUUAUUUCGAGAUUCAUCCAAGGAGUCAGGUUCUAUUUAGGGGAAGCCAGAGCGUCCAAACACAGCGUCGCCAGUCGCCAACUCGAGAGGUAUGCCAGUUUCAGCUAGAACGGGACCCAAGCUCCCAAGAUGCCAAACCAGGCCAGUGAAAUAUCAAGCACAGGGGAUAACCCGGAUGACAUCGGAAGCCAUUCCCAGCAGUAGAAUCCAGCGGCUGAAGAGGCAAACUUGGAGAGGCUCUUCCUUGUGCAGCCGGUUGAAACUUGCUGCCUCUGUUUAACCGCAAGUCCCAAGUCCCAA